UACGUAGGUGGCAAGCGUUGUCCGGAUUUACUGGGCGUAAAGAGCGCGCAGGCGGUCGGAUCAGUCGAAUGUGAAAGCCCCCGGCUCAACUGGGGAGGGUCAUUCGAUACUGUCCGACUCGAAGGCAGGAGAGGGAAGCGGAAUUCCCGGUGUAGUGGUGAAAUGCGUAGAUAUCGGGAGGAACACCGAUGGCGAAGGCAGGUCUCUGGGCCACUACUGACGCUGAGAAGCGAAAGCAUGGGGAGCGAACAGG
rnacentral:rRNA from 1 species